GUGGGGGAAGAAGGUCUUCGGAUUGUAAACCCCUGUCAUGUGGGACAUUAAAAGAUAGUACCACAAGAGGAAGAGACGGCUAACUCUGUGCCAACAGCCGCGGUAAUACAGAGGUCUCAAGCGUUGUUCGGAAUCACUGGGCGUAAAGCGUGCGUAGGCGGUUUCUAAGUCGUGUGUGAAAGGCGGGGGCUCAACCCCCGGACUGCACAUGAUACUGCGAGACUAGAGUAAUGGAGGGGGAACCGGAAUUCUCGGUGUAGCAGUGAAGUGCGUAGAUAUCGAGAGGA
rnacentral:rRNA from 1 species